AACAUCCUGGCACCACACUCCCAGUCAAAGAAAUGUGCUCACCUACCAACCACUCUACACAAGAUAAGAACAAUGACCAACAAGAAAAAGGAGACCUUGACAUCAGUGGUAUAAAUAAUACAUUGGAGAGGUUGUUAAACUGAAAUUAUCUCGGAGCUGGCAGUGAGGAAACGCAUAAGGAGAAGCAGAUGAUUCUAUUGUAUCGAUCAACACAGAAGACCUUGACAUCAGUGGUAUAAAUAAUACAUUGGAGAGGUUGUUAAACUGAAAUUAUCUCGGAGCUGGCAGUGAGGCAACGCAUAAGGAGAAGCAGAUGAUUCUAUUGUAUCGAUCAACACACAGAGUAAGAUGUUACACACACGGUUACAAUGUGCUAAAAGCAUAGUGAUCACAGGAAGCAAGUGAUAUCUUAUGAGCUGUAAUUACUGUAUAAAGCGGCCCAUAAAUCAGGGGUCUACAGGGGUCAAGUGAUCAGCAAAAUCCAACACGUUGUAAACCCUCAAUUCAGAUCCGGUUCCUGGAGGGCCCUGCAUUUGGAAUAACCAGGCUCCUUUGAACCACCAUAGGUCUGUC